AUUGAACGCUGGCGGCAUGCCUUACACAUGCAAGUUGAACGGCAGCACGGGUGCUUGCACCUUGUGGCGAGUGGCGAACGGGUGAGUAAUACAUCGGAACGCACCUUAUCGUGGGGGUUAACGCAGCGAAAGUUUCGCUAACACCGCAUUCGCCCUGAGGGGGAACGCGGGGGUCUGUAAGGCCCCGCGGGAUUAGAGCGGCCGAUGUCUGAUUAGCUUGUGGGUGAGGUAAAAGCUCACCAAGGCGAGGAUCAGUAGCUGAUCUGAGAGGACGAUCAGCAACACUGGGGCUGAGACACGGCCCAGCCUCCUACGGUAGGUAGCAGUGGGGAAUUUUGGACAAUGGGGACAACCCUGAUCCAGCAAUGCCUCGUGAGUGAAGAAGGCCUUCGGGUUGUAAAGCUCUAUUGUCAGGGAAGAAACAGCAGCUCUAACACAGUCUGCGAAUUACGGUACCUGAAGAAUAAGCACCGGCUAACUACGUGCCAGCCGCCGCUGUAA
rnacentral:rRNA from 1 species